GACCCAAACGCUACAUCUUACUGCAGGAUCCUCACGCUCUCUGCGGCACCCAGAGAAGCCGGGGAAGGAGGGAGAGAGGGAGGGAGUGAGGGCUAUUUAUAGCACGAUUUGAUUUCAAAAAGAAAAGAGAGAUGUGGAAACAUGGUGGUUCUCAGGGCAGCCGCCACCACUUUGAGAUUCGAGCCCUCUGCGAAGAUAACGCCUUCAACCCCGCUCAAUUAUUUAAGCCAUCAGGGAGCUUGUUCCGACUAAAGAGGGUGCUUCAUUGUGCGAGUGCGUUUAGAUUGUACAACGUUAAUAAUGACAACAAGACCCCCCGCCCCACCCUACUGCCUCUCCGUCUGUCUUCGCUCUCAGGGGUGAAGCUUGAUUAGUGCACAUGCUAAUUUGCCGCCAACAUCAGUGGCUGUCAGUCCCCCUACACCCCUAACACUCUCUCCACCCCCUCAACAUCCCUCUCCGCUUCCAUUUUCUUCUCCUUCUUUACAGAUUUAGGUCAGACACCCCACAGCUUGAAAAGAAAGGUGGAUGAAUGCCGCUGCAUCGAGGGGGGCUGCAGGAAGAGUCACUCAGAGGAGUGACAGAGCUGAUCAGAGAGAGGUUCACCUACAGGGAUAAUGAGAGGAUCGAGCGGAGGAUGAGAAAGGGAGCAGAGCAACAGGAAUCAAGUUUUUGGAAUCAAGCCACAAAGAUUCAAUUUCAAACAUGAGGUCUUUUAAAACAUACCUGCAGACAAAGUAAACAUCACACCACCACACACGUGGCAAGCGCAACAACGAGCCAAGUUCCACCCCUGGCCUGCAGUGACCCGUUCCUGCUGGGCUUCCCUCCCUUUCUCCGAUUCAUCCUACAUGUGGGCCAUCCUUUCUUUCUUGUACUAUUUCCCUUUGUUUUUAACUUUCUCUACCCCUUGUCGCACGUCAAACACACAGAGUCUCUUCCUGCACCCAUCCGACAGGAACGUUCGGUAUGGGACAGCAGGACAAGAUGGCACCACAGGGGUGUAACCAUUAAGGGCACGAAACGCCUUUGCUUUUUUUGCCAAGCAGCACACAAAUGCUCGCAGGCUUUUGAUUUCUGAUAGGCCGGAGAAAUGCCUGUGCGUCAGCACUCUUGAAAUGAAGUGCAGAUUCAGCUCUCUGCAGGGACUGCGCUUUCAGAGGACAGAACCUGAAACACAGCACAGGUUAAGAGAGUAUUCUAGGAACCAUCGAGACUGGGAUAAAAAGGACUAUUGUUCUGCACUUGAAUUCGCAUUUUUCAUCACUUUUUGAAGCUUGAAUGUGUGUUUUCUGCAUCACUAGCAGCACCAAAUGGAAUGAACAACUCUGGCUCAAAGGUGUGAGUUUGCAACAGGACUACCUGUUUAUCCAAACAAUGGAAGGCAAGUAGAGCUUUUGGGAAAAUUAUUUUCACAAUCCUUUUUGGUGCUGCUAGUGUCACAGAAAUCAAGUGUUAUUGGUAUUGGUAAUUAAAUAUAAUUGGCAUUAUUU